GCUUGGGGAGGCUUUGGGGGGGGCCGCGCUCGGCAGCGGUCCCCGCGUCAGCUCUGGGCAUCUGCCAGAGCACCCCUCCAGGCAACUUCUUCCCACAGCCCCCUCUGAUGGACCCCCGACUCUCCUCACCCCUCGCCCGUCCGGCGGGGCACAAAGAAAUCCCAGUAAACCUUGGUAAACUUUGAGCUUCCAGUUAGGCCGCCCCUCCCGCCCCGGGCCUCCGCCCCGCCCGCGCGGCGCCCUGGCAGGAAGGUUAGGCCCCUGGCAAGACCCUGGGCGAGAGGCAGCUGACCACGAAUGCCAACUGCGUGUCUGGGGCCAGCUGAGCCCUCUGCUCCGCCGGGCUCUCGGAGGCCACCUCCCUGCGCUCGAGGUUCCCGGGAGGCCGCCGCGGGCGCGGACCACCCGCCACCCCCGUAGCCCGCGCGGCCGGGAUGCUGAGCCGCGUCCUCACUGUGCUCUUUCUCACCUCGAGUUCUCGGGGGAGCUCGCAAAAAUUCCGAAUUCGGAAGCAGGCAGGUAUUUUUCCUCCUAUCAAAAAGGGGGACCUGUUAUUAGCCAGGUGAUUAGCCCGAGGUGGGAAAUGAACCGCCUCCAGGCAGAACACUAACUUUUCGAGGAAGUCUGUGGAAGUUCUGAAAUCCCACCCCGUCCCAUGACCUGUAAUUCUUCUUAGUUCUUCUGCCACAGGGAAGCAGCCAGCGACUAAUAAAAGAUUUGAUCUUGCCAUAAUUUCCCAAGCAGCUGGAUUUGUCCAUGUAAUGAAGUUCAGACCAAUAAAAUGCAAGCAGAGAUCUACUGGAUAUGGCUAAAAGAACCUGAAAUGGUUUUGCUCAAAAGCACAAUCCAUUUUUUUCUUGGCCCAUCUCUUUGCUCACAUCUGGAAUGGGGAAUGAUGCUUGGAUACAGAAGAGCCAUCUUGUAAUCAUAAGAGCAAAAUCUACACAGUUUGGACCAGAGUUGGAAAAGAGGAGCCAAUUCUGAUGACUUCCUUUAGCAGUAUAUUAGCCCUGAACUGACUCUGGAGUCCUUAUUCUGCAAGAAGAAAAACACUGUUUUGUUAAGCACUGUAUUUAGGUCUGUUACAUACAGCCAAAGCCAAACCUAAUUACUACACAAGAGACCUUCUGCGUAAGGUGGUGCUGUUUUUUUGCCUUUUGAGACGUUGGUUUAAGGGAGGUUAUUUUCUUAUUAUGCUUUAUACUUUCAAAAGAUUUCUAUCCACCCCCCCCCUUUUUUUUUUAACAUUUUAGAAGUUGUUUGGUUAUCUACAAAUAAUUUCAAUGACUUCUUCCAUCCUCUUUACCUUUAAGGGUUUUUUAAAGAUUUUUAUUUUAAAUAAAUAAAUUUAAACUUAUGAGAGACAUAGAAAGAGAGGCAGAGACAUAGGCAGAGGGAGAAGCAGGCUCCUUGGGGGAGCCUGAUGCGGGACUCAAUCCUGGGGCCCCGGGAUCAUGACCUGAGCUGAAGGCAAAUGCUCAACCACUAAGCAACCCAGGUGCCCCUACCUUUAGAUUUACUCCUUUUUUAUUCUUAUAUUUUCUUCUCUGGAGUAAAGGGAAAUAACAGUAAUGCCUAUCCUGGGUACUGUCACCUUUAAUUCUUUCAGGGGCUAUGAGCAAUGUAAAAAAAAUAAAUGAAGCAUCCAACAGAUGUCUGAUACAGGUGAGCAUUAUGGAGACAUAGAGAAUACAUGUUCCUGGUAAAAGUUUUUAAAUACAAAUAAAAUAGUUAUUGUAUUGUUCAAAGAAAUAACUUGCAAGCACAAUCUGACUAUAGGCUAAAAUUCUGCAGAUUCUUCAUAUAAGACAUACUUGAUGCAAAAAAACUGUCACACUUACUGAGCUGCAAUGCACCUACUCACCAAAACACCAACAUCAGUAAUAACAACAAUAUACAAUUAAGACCUUUUAAAAUUGAAAGUAUAUUUAGCUAAAAUAUUUCCCCUUAUUUUCUUACAAAUUGAAACUGGUUUUCCCCUUUCUGGUUUUUGACUGAUACAGAAGAUAAUGCAGUAACUCUAAUAUUAUACUCAACAGACAAAAGAAACAAACAAAAAUCCUCUGUGGGGGUUGCUUUGUCUUUGGAAGAAAACCAACCAUAAGCAAAAAUGUAAGAUAGAAACAUCUACAUUUCCCACCCCCAUCCUUCUUCAGUUACUUUCCUCUCUCUGCCUUAAUAUAUAUGUUCAGGAGUUGUAUUAUAGUAAUGGCUUAUAAUACACUUUAAGACCCUAAUUAACAAAGCAGUUGUUACUACUGAUAUCCAGUUCCUUGCACAUAAACCACCAAAGUGUGUCUUGCUUUCCAGUAAGACUGAAUACAAAUGGAAUCUACCAACACCAGGCUUGUGCUGCUCCCAAUUCCUACAGAGAUGAGUGGAUUGCAGUGGUAACACUGGUUAGCUCUUGUUCUGUUGGUUAGUUCUUUGGUCCUAAACACUUACAUCUGCAUAGAUAAAAGUUUGGCCAGCAAGAAACUGAGGUUCAGAAUGGAAAACCGUACUUAAGUUCACACAGUAACUGGAGAAGCUGGAAUUCUUAUCAUGCACUGCCUAAUAAGAAAACUGAUGGAGUUUUCCUUAUGCCAUUAAAGCUCCCCUGAUGGAGGAAAAUUACAAAAUCUGGACUCUUAAACAGACAGUGAAUUGGACUGAUAAUCAGGAAAACAAGGGUCUAAACUAGACUCACCGGCCGAGUGGUUUAGGCAAUGGACUAAACGAGACUCAUCAACUUGGAGAAUUUUAUUCAUCACUUUGUUCACAUUGGAACCACAUGUAGACCUGACAGAGAAGACAGAGAACUUGGAUUCCCCCAUUCACUGCAUGGGGUAGCACUGGAUUAUUUUCUUUGGGAAGAGAGGGGACAGAGAUACACUAAAGGACAGAAACAUCUUUGGUCCCUGCAUCACCACUUGGAGGGGAGCUUCUCAGGAGAUCUGCCUGCAGACUGUUGCCAGAAUGCAAAAUAAGCAGAAAUUCCAAGUUGGCUGAUAGGAAAGCACAAACUUUGUGAAAAGGAAGAAAGCUUCUCUUAGGAAGAGAAACCAGCACUACAUUUGACUGCAUGGUUCUGUUUCAGGAAGCAAACUGCUAUGCUGUGAACUUUCCCUUGGAGAGGCCCACAUGGCAAAGAAUUAAGGAAGGUCUCUGGCCAACAUCCAGUGAAGAACUGAAACCAAGAGGGACUAAAUCUUGAGUUGCUUGGACUACUACAUGCCUGAGCUUGGAAGCAGAUCUUCCUCCAGUCAAGACUUGAGAUGAGACUGCAGUCUCAGCUGACACCUUGAUUGUAGCAUGUAAGAGACCUUGAGUCAGACGGAACUAGUCAUGCUGCACCUGAACUCCUGACCCACAGAAACUCUGAGAUAAUAGAUAUUUAUUAUUUUAAGCAUCUCAGUUUUGGGCCAAUUUAUCACAGAGCAGUACAUACCUAAUACCAUUUGUAAGAAUAAAAUUGUAAAGAAAUGUUGAGAAUGUACAGUAAUGUUUUGAAAUAAAGUAUAGCACAGACAAAUAAUCUUAAGAACUUCUUCCCUCUUACUCUAAAGUCAAUCCUAAAAGGAAAAUAUUUAUAGACUUAAAAUAUAAAACUUGUGGGAAUUAAAAUUUUAAGUACAGUGUAUAUUCAAAAUAUCUGUCUACAAACUUAUCAGACUUAUUAUCCCUCUGUUUUUCAAUGUUGGCAAUACAAUAUGUAUGGCUUUGUAUAUGUUCUAUUAAGUAUAAAGUAAAUACAGCAAAUACUCUUAGGAAUAAAAUAAAGUAACCAAAGUGUCCGUUGAUAUAGUUCAAGAUUAAAUCAUUGUAGCAUAUAAUUUAAGAAUAUUAAAUUUAACAUUCAGAAAAGGGGAUAAAAAUUGCUCAGAAAGAAAUUGAGCUAUUUGUCAUCCUUUGGGAAAAAGAGAUUUGUAGUGCCUUAGUACUUAUGAGAAAUGUUUGAGAUAAGUAUGUAAGUUCCUAUUCAAAAGUCAUUUGAUAAUCUAUUUUUAGUUUGGAACUAAGGAAACAUUAAACAAAAUUAUCUUAUAUAACAAAUAUUAAAAUGUAAACUGAUUUUUGUUUCUUACAGAAUUUAGUAAACAGUUGAACUCAACAAUGUAAAAGAAAAGCUUGGUCUCCAGCGAACAUAUAUCUGUAUAACUGCACGACAACAUGGUAUCCUUGGCUUAUCAAAUUUUGUUUCCAAGUUUUUAUGACUGAAGAAAAGAACAAUUGCUCAUAUUACCUCUCUCUACAUAUAUCUAUAUAGUCUGUGUAGACUACAAAUUGUUGAGUAGGUUUUAAAAUCCUUUAUGGUAGUUUAUAUAAUAAAAAGCAUAAAAUGAUUUAAACACUAAACUAGGGAAUUUCAGCAUUCUUUGCAGGCAAAUUCUCUUUCCUAAAUAACGUAUCUUACCUACCAUUUCCAGAAGGCUGUGUUGACCUUGAUCUUAAUAACCAAAACUUCCUUGGUCAGAGUGAGACAUUUGGCCCAAAUUAGGCCAAUCAGAUUUCUCUAUAAGGGAUUUUAAACUGUAGUAUCCUAUGUGUCAUCAUCAAAUAGUGCUGGGCACUGGGGCUUGAUAAAAUACAGAGCUAGAGGCUACAUCAGAAACAGGGCAGCAUAGGUUGGCAAAGAGAAGGUAAACUGAUGAGAUAAUAGAAUGAGACAGAGAAGGAGGUUUGUCUGCCAAACACUAUUCAUUGGUGGGAUUGUAUAUGUGUAUGUCCCUUCCUGCGGUCCCCUAUGGAUAAAGUACACUCUCACAUCCUUCCAUUGCCACCCACAGGCAUUCUCCUCAUCUUUGCAAAAAGUUCCCAUUAAUUAAUCAUGCUGAUCAUCUUCUUCUCAUUCUCCUUAGAAUUUGUAUUUCCAGAUAACUCCCAAGUAUCUAGAGUACUGAGCAACGGGGUUAUUUUUCUUUGUGUUGAUUGAUUUCUUUUUCUUCUAAUGCUGUCCCUGAACUUUAAAUAGUGAGUCUUGGGGUAAGUAACUUUAUUAGUUCUCUUUUGGGUAGGAUACUGUUGUGAUGCACAUCCUUGGUAGGGCUCAGCUCCUCUCUGCCCACAGACUAGACAGGAAUCACCAUUGUGGAGGUAAGACAUUGAGAAAGAUGUCAGGAAAGAGAAAGGUCACAAAGUCAUUAUUUAACUGUCACGUUCUCAUUGAGGACUUUCUGACUAACUUGUGUAAAAUUUCAAACUUCACCCAUCCAACCCUCCAACACACACAUAUUUUCUAUCCCCACUCCAUUCCUCAUUUUUCUCCUGAGUAUACAUCCCUUAGUUGCUUAUUUCAUACUUUGUUAUGUUGUUUAUUUUAUGUCUCUCCUAUUAAAAUGUAAGUCUUAUGAGAGCAAGAAUUUUUCCUCCAUUUCAUUGAUACGUAUACCCAAACCCUAGAAGCAAAAUCAGCUACUUAGUUAAUGGGGCCAAGUGUGAAAUGAAAAAUGCAGUGUCCCAUGAUAAGAAAUUAUUAAGAAUCUUAAGACAGUUACAGCAGAGCAUUAAAUCAAGUGCAGGGCCCUGAGUAAUUGCAGAGGUUGCAAGCUAUGAAACUGGCCCUGUCUAGAACUUCCUUUAUAAAGCACCAACAUAUUGUAAAUUAAUAUUCCAGUAGGCAAGACUUUGUUCCAUUUACUUUUUACAUAGCCUGUGAGGACAACCAGCACGUUAGCAUAUCCCACGAUACUCAAGUGUCCCUAUGACAAAAGAUGAACCAAUGAACAUCUAGAGAGUUUUCUGUAAGACCUCCCCACAUUUUAGCAUUUAAAAGAACCGUCAUGUAAUUUCUCUCACAUGUAAAACCCACAGGUACACAGAAAAUAAA